rnacentral:rRNA from 1 species
GACGAACGCUGGCGGCGUGCUUAACACAUGCAAGUCGAACGGAAAGGCCCUGCUUUUGUGGGGUGCUCGAGUGGCGAACGGGUGAGUAACACGUGAGUAACCUGCCCUUGACUUUGGGAUAACUUCAGGAAGCUGGGGCUAAUACCGGAUAGGAGCUCCUGCUGCAUGGUGGGGGUUGGAAAGUUUCGGCGGUUGGGGAUGGACUCGCGGCUUAUCAGCUUGUUGGUGGGGUAGUGGCUUACCAAGGCUUUGACGGGUAGCCGGCGUGAGAGGGUGACCGGCCACAUUGGGACUGAGAUACGGCCCAGACUCCUACGGGAGGCAGCAGUGGGGAAUAUUGCACAAUGGGCGGAAGCCUGAUGCAGCAACGCCGCGUGCGGGAUGACGGCCUUCGGGUUGUAAACCGCUUUCGCCUGUGACGAAGCGUGAGUGACGGUAAUGGGUAAAGAAGCACCGGCUAACUACGUG